rnacentral:rRNA from 1 species
GAUGAACGCUGGCGGCGUGCCUAAUACAUGCAAGUCGAGCGAACAGACGAGGAGCUUGCUCCUCUUACGUUAGCGGCGGACGGGUGAGUAACACGUGGAUAACCUACCUAUAAGACUGGGAUAACUUCGGGAAACCGGAGCUAAUACCGGAUAAUAUAUUUAACCGCAUGGUUCAAUAGUGAAAGACGGUUUUGCUGUCACUUAUAGAUGGAUCCGCGCCGCAUUAGCUAGUUGGUAAGGUAACGGCUUACCAAGGCAACGAUGCGUAGCCGACCUGAGAGGGUGAGCGGCAACACUGGAACUGAGACACGGUCCAGACUCCUACGGGAGGCAGCAGUAGGGAAUCUUCCGCAAUGGGCGAAAGCCUGACGGAGCAACGCCGCGUGAGUGAUGAAGGUCUUCGGAUCGUAAAACUCUGUUAUUAGGGAAGAACAAAUGUGUAAGUAACUAUGCACGUCUUGACGGUACCUAAUCAGAAAGCCACGGCUAACUACGUG